AGGUGCAAUCGUACCAGCGUUAAUGCACCGAAUCCCAUAAAAAAUCCGCAGUUAAGCACGCUUGGGCUCGAGUCAUACUGGGAUGGGUGACCUCCUAGGAAGUCCUAGUGUUGAACCCU
rfam:Picea glauca, whole genome shotgun sequence.